AUCUAUUAGAUUGGUGCAAAAGUAAUUGCGGUUUUUGCCAUUACCUUCAAUGGUAAAAACUGCAAUUACUUUUGCACCAACCUAAUA
rnacentral:pre_miRNA from 1 species